rnacentral:lncRNA from 1 species
AAACUGCGUUGAGAUCUAGAGAGGUUAAAUUACAAGAUAUAUGUACCAAAAACCACAAUGUCCAAUUGUAUCGUUAGGAUUGGAAUUCUAGAAACCAUGAAGUCCAGCUUUUGUUGUGUUUUAGUUCAAACAAAAAUCACUAGAAGAAUGGGUUAAAGCAAGUAAUUUCCUUCCAAUGGUUUAUUACGUAACAGAAAAACAAAAACAAAAGGUACAGAAGACUGGGCACCUAAAUUUGGACCUAUACUCUUCGUGGGUUGCUUAUAUAUAUCAUGCUCCAUGCAUUCAUUUCUUAACCCCAAGCAAAUAAUUUGUAAUCAAGUUAGCUUCAAUUUAAAAGCAUACAUCUUGAGCGAUGGCCACCUCAAUCAGUUAUGCAGUGUUCAUUGCUUCCAUGCUCUUAUGUCUCUCGUCAUCUCCAGCACCAUUUGCAAAUGCAAGAGCGUCUCAAUUAGUUAGGAGUGUUUGCAAGCAAACCCAAGAACAAUUCGGCUACAGCUAUAGGCAGUGCGUAAAAUCUCUUUGGAAAGAUAUUCCAAUUAGAUCGGCAACUAAUCUCAAAGAUCUUGACAUAGCCGUUCUUAAAUUAGCAGCAGCAAAUGCAGCACAAACCAAAGCUACGUUUGAAAAAGCUUUAAACACCACCGACAAGAAUGCUAAUGGCACGACAGCUAUAAAGCAGUGUGUAGAUUCCUAUGAUUUUGCGUUAGGAGCGUUUGUUUUCGCAGUGCGAGGGGUCAAUGACGGUGACAAAUCGGUCACCGAAAUCCUCACACAGGCCCAAGAUGACCUUGUUCGUUGCCAAAGAGCAUUGGCCUCUGUUGAAGUUCCGCUUCCUAUGCCAGUAUCGACGACCAACUUUUGGGUCAUGUUAUAUAGGGAUGUUGCAUUCCUUGUUACUUCCCAGUUAUUCAAUAUCUAGAAAAAGAUAUGAGAAUAGUGUAUUGAAAUUUGAAAAUACACGUGUACCAAAGAAAUGUAUCUGUGAAUACUAUAAAUAAAAAGGAUAGAAAUUUGAAGAAAUGCAAAAAAAAAUUGAUAUGAAUAACGAAUAUCAAUCGUUUAUUGGCAUUGUUGUGUUCCUCUUUAGUUUGGAUUUCUUAUCAUGCAUUCACUUUACUAUGCAUUGGCUUUAACAAAGUUGAAAUGAUGGUACAUGUAUUUUCAUUCAAACUUGACAUCCCCGUAUCAGUCCAAAUACAGGUUCUAACUUAUUUCAUUCACCAUUCGAUUCAUGCAACUUGUGUUUCUUUAUUCAAUGGGUGGGGAGAUUUGAACUUGAAUUUUUUUUAAGAAUUUGGAAGACAACAAUUAAUGCGCAUCCAAUUUUUUCUUCUUUGCACCCAUGUCUGUCUUAUAGCCCACAUUGUUUUAUGACCUUUCCUUAGACAAUCCAAAAUUAUUCAAUAGUCUUCUAACACUUUGACUAAUGACAUUCUUUUCAAGAAUGCAAAAUCCUCGAUCAUGGUCGGCAUAUGAUUACGAAGAGCCUGCUCGAGUCGCUCUUGAGUUAGCAGCAACGAAUACAAAAGAUAGGCACAGCUUCAUAAACAUUUAAUCAAGAGGGAUUCGAGGGAGCCUAUUUAACAAUAUUAGUUUUGGUAUCGCGCGGUGCUGCUUUUAUUCUAGUGCCAUCACUAGUAGAAAAAACACUUUGCGCGACGUACAUAAAUGCGUCGCGCAAAGCCAAAGGUCGUUGCCUAAGGGUUUGCGCGACGAAGGGUUCGUCGCGCGCUGACCGUCGCGCCAAGGCAGUGACGGUAGGGUUUGCGCGACGAACAAUAACAUGCGUCGCGCAAAGUACUUUGCGCGACUCACGUAUGCGUCGUGCAAAAUACUUUGCGCGACGUAUACGUGCGUCGUGCAAAGUACUUUGCGCGACUCACGUAUGUGUCGUGCAAAGUAUUUUGCGCGACGUAUACGUGCGUCGUGCAAAAUACUUUGCUUGAAUUUGAUGGGAAACGCAUUAUACGAAAUUGCUUCGAGAUCGCGUACGUAAAAAAUCACAAAAAACAAAUAUACAGAGAUCAAGUAACGAGACAAUUGAGAAUAGAAUUCACGUUUGCGUGUUUGAAAAAGCUUCAACUCGUGAUUCAUAAUUGUCUAAUUGAGAAUUCCACUCCAUUAACUAAUAUUCCAUUUGCCCUUUUUCUUAAGAAAGAUAUAGACUAGUAGUUACGGAAAUAGGUAAUCUUGAUGAAUAGAUACAAAUAGACAAGAAGAGAAUGAGUGUCUUGUUCUUCAAUUGAAUCUUUUUUUGGGAUUCACUUAUGUUAGUGACCCGUAAAAAUGCACGGAUGGUAAAUGUAGAGACUCGGGAUCCCAAAAGUAUAUUGAAAUAACGUCACGAUUACAAGUAGUGUUUCACCACUUAUUAUUUUGAACAUAAGAUUUAAGAAUUCCCACGAGGUGAAACGAAAUAGUAAUUUGCAGGCCGAAGCAGUAUAGCAUGGCCGCUUACAGGUCCUGCCUUUAUACAAUAAAUCCACCUUUCUUACACAUUCUGCUGCAAAGCCACAGACUAAAAUUCACCAAAAAAAUACAUUCGGUAAGUUACACUUUUAAUUAGACUAACCAUGUCGAUUCCAGCACCAACCCCAGCUUGAACUGAAUAUGAAUAGUUAGCUUUGGGAGGAGAUGUAAUCCUGUCAAUACCCUCCCAAUCUGAUAUGACAAAACCCUGAUAGCACCCUCCAAAAGAAACUAAUCAUGCUCGGCACUAGUAAUAAUCUAAUAACCCAAUAAUCUAAAAUGACUUUGCGCGACGUACUUGAAUAUGCGUAGCGCGAAGUCACUUUUGCGCGACGUACAUGCACGUACGUCACGCAAAAUUGACAAAAAAGCGGUAAAGCAUUCUUUGUUUGGCGCCAAGAUCUUGCGCGACGUACGACAACGUCGUGCAAAAGAACUUUACGCGACGGCACUUUGCGCGACGUCAGUGUGCGUCGCGCAAAGUUAUUUUGCGCAACGUCUUUACUAAUACGUCGCGGAAAAUAACUUUGCGCGACGCACACUGACGUCGCGCAAAGUGCCGUCGUGCAAAAGGAUUUUGCGUGACGUUUUGUGUUGUGCGUCGCUCAAAACAACUUUGCGCGACGAAAUCCAGCCACACGAGGAGCUACAGAGCAAAUGAGAUUUAGUGUGUAGAUACAUUACACACAUUUGAACAAAUCGAAAAUUUCUAAAUUUCACUAAAGUACAUGCUUUGAAACAGUAGAUUAAAGCAAAUCAAGCACAGAAAAUCAUUGGAGAUUUUCUCCAGUGUUAAUCCAGUGAUAACCAAAUUUGAGAAGACUGAUAAUUAAUAGACAACCUGCAGCUUCGUUGACAGUCUAAGGGGGAAUCACAAACAAUCUUCAUUUUAUCGAUAACAUUAUACUGAAAAAUGUUCAGAAACUAAAGACGCAUUGGUUUAGAUAUAACCAUAAGCCAAUUGAUGCGAAACGGCGUUUAAAUGUGAGUGCAUUUCAUUAAUCCUAGUCAAGUAAAUAGAGAAAUGACCAGUUGAAAAAAAACUGGUUCACAGGACCAGCUCCCUCUUGAAAAUAGUCCACCUGAAAUUGAUUUUCUUCAUCCUCGAUAAAUCUAAAGAAGUGACAAGUUUAUUGUUUACUUGGAUUCAUAACAACAUGUGCAGAAACUUACCAUCAAAUUCGUGCACCCACCCACUUAAAGGCAUGCAAGUCAUGCACUACACCCACCUUAAUCUGAAACCCACAGUCCUCAAACCCUCACACAUUUGGCAAAAUACUCAGAAAUCAAGUUAAUCAACAUGAAAUUUGACCCUAAACCCUAAAGAACCAAAACCCAGUGAAAAUCAGAAACCCUUACCUUGAUUUUGGGACUCGAUUGGUGUCGGAUUCGCGUCUUCCUGCGUCUCUAUGUGUGUGGCCGGAUGAGCGCCGUUGAAGUGGACGGAGGAGCGACGUGACUCGAUGGAGGAGCGGUGGGAUAUUUGGGGUUCACGGGAAAGAGAGAGGGAUAUUUGGGGUCUACGGGAAAGAGAGGGAUAUUUGGGGUUCAAGAUUGUACGGCCGAUGUUGGCUUCGUUGGCGUCGAAGCCUUGAAAUUGAAGUUCCUUGAAGCCUUGAAAUUGAAUAAAUUUCUGAAAAUUUGACCUACAGGUGAUGUCGAAUAAAGCCUUGAAAUCAAAUAAAGAUACUACAGGUGAAAUCAAAGGAAGAGGGGAGGUUCAAGAUUUUGUCCAAACUUGGAAAAUUGAAAAAAAAAGCGCCUAUUUUUCACUACCGCAGCGCCAAAAUUAUCACAACUUGCGCGACGUACGUAUACAAUUUGACGUCGUGCAAAGUGGUUUUGCGCGACGAUCACAUUAAUGCGUCGCGCACAUUUUUUUUUAAUUAUUAUUAAAAUUACUGAAAAUGUGACUUUCGUCAUUUCAAAUUCAAUUUUUUUUACAUAAACCCCACUAUAAUAUAUUUUUCUAACAAAAACCCACAAUAAUUUUUUUACAUAUAUAUCAUUCAAUUUCUUAAAAUAUUAUAAGUACAAAAUAAAUAAAUUAAAAUCUACUUAGUAAAUAUAUAUAUACCAUUGAAAUCGAUGGGAUACGCAUUGUACGUCAGUGUGCGUCGCGCAAAGUUAUUUUGCGCGACGUCUUUACUAAUGCGUCGCGCAAAGUGCCGUCGCGCAAAAGGACUUUGCGUGACGUUUUGUGUUGUGCGUCGCUCAAAACAACUUUGAGCGACGAAUUUUACGACGUCGCGCAAGAUUCCGUCGCGCAAACAUGUUUUCUACUAGUGGCAUACAUGAGGACAAGGAUAGGCCUGGGCCUCUCCAUCAUUUUCUUUAUUUUGUAUGUUUUAGCUUGAGUUUGUUAUUCUUUAAUUUCUGUUUGUGUGCUUUCCAUUGAGCGCGAUGUAGUUAAAUCACCAGUUUGUAUGCAUAGUGUUGUUUAAAAAGUUUAUAUUGAAAAAAAAGAAUCACAUUUGCAUUUUUGAGCCACGGUCUAUAAUGCUUGUUCAACUUUGAUGUAGUAAUCGUUUCUUUUUAGCACAACUUUUGAACAAGUUCCGUGCUUAUGGUAUUAUUGUGUCAAUGUUAAAUUAUUAUUUUCAUGACUCCGUUGCUCUCAAUUGAUUCAAAUUUCCGUUCCUACACAAAAGUUAACCCUCAAAUCUUCUCUCAUUGAUCGUAUUAUUUUUAAUAUAAUUUUUGUCACAUGGCCUGGAGGAUCCUCCUAACUUCGAUUUUUGGCUCUGUCACUGCUUCAUUAAAUAACUAAAUAUGAAGACAAACUACGAGCAUCCUGUGACGGCCAAAUUUAAAGUCAAAAUUGCGGGCGACGAUGAGAGUAACGGUUAAACUGCGUUGAGAUCUAGAGAGGUUAAAUUACAAGAUAUAUGUACCAAAAACCACAAUGUCCAAUUGUAUCGUUAGGAUUGGAAUUCUAGAAACCAUGAAGUCCAGCUUUUGUUGUGUUUUAGUUCAAACAAAAAUCACUGGAAGAAUGGGUUAAAGCAAGUAAUUUCCUUCCAAUGGUUUGUUACGUAACAAAAAAACAAAAACAAAAGGUACAGAAGAGGGGCUCCUAAAUUUGGACCUAUACUCUCCCUGGGUUGCUUAUAUAUAUCAUGCUCCAUGCAUUCAUUUCUUAACCCCAAGCAAAUAAUUUGUAAUCAAGUUAGCUUCAAUUUAAAAGCAUACAUCUUGAGCGAUGGCCACCUCAAUCAGUUAUGCAGUGUUCAUUGCUUCCAUGCUCUUAUGUCUCACGUCAUCUCCAGCACCAUUUGCAAAUGCAAGAGCAUCUCAAUUAGUUAGGAGUGUUUGCAAGCAAACCCAAGAACAAUUCGGCUACAACUAUAGGCAGUGCGUAAAAUCUCUCUGGAAAGAUAUUACAAUUAGAUCGGCAACUAAUCUCAAAGAUCUUGACAUAGCCGUUCUUAAUUAGCAGCAGCAAAUGCAGCACAAACCAAAGCUACGUUUGAAAAAGCUUUAAACGCCACCGACAAGAAUGCUAAUGGCACGACAGCUAUAAAGCAAUGUGUAGAUUCCUAUGAUUUUGCGUUAGGAGCGUUUGUUUUCGCAGUGCGAGGGGUCAAUGACGGUGACAAAUCGGUCACCGAAAUCCUCACACAGGCCCAAGAUGACCUUGUUCGUUGCCAAAGAGCAUUGGCCUCUGUUGAAGUUCCGCUUCCUAUGCCAGUAUCGACGACGAACUUUUGGGUCAUGUUAUAUAGGGAUGUUGCAUUCCUUGUUACUUCCCAGUUAUUCAAUAUCUAGAAAAAGAUAUGAGAAUAGUGUAUUGAAAUUUGAAAAUACACGCCUACCAAAGAAAUGUAUCUGUG